GAUGAACGCUAGCUACAGGCUUAACACAUGCAAGUCGAACGAAGAGGGUUAGAAUGAGAGCUUCGGCAGGAUUUCUUUCCAUCUUAGUGGCGGACGGGUGAGUAACGUGUGGGCAACCUGCCCUGUACUGGGGAAUAAUCAUUGGAAACGAUGACUAAUACCGCAUGUGGUCCUCGGAAGGCAUCUUCUGAGGAAGAAAGGAUUUAUUCGGUACAGGAUGGGCCCGCAUCUGAUUAGCUAGUUGGUGAGAUAACAGCCCACCAAGGCGACGAUCAGUAGCCGACCUGAGAGGGUGAUCGGCCACAUUGGAACUGAGACACGGUCCAA
rnacentral:rRNA from 1 species